UACGGGGGGGGUAAGCGUUGUUCGGAAUUACUGGGCGUAAAGGGCUCGUAGGCGGCCAACUAAGUCGGACGUGAAAUCCCUCAGCUUAACUGGGGAACUGCGUCCGAUACUGGAUGGCUUGGAUUUGGGAGAGGGAUGCGGAAUUCCAGGUGUAGCGGUGAAAUGCGCAGAUAUCAGGAAGAACACCCGUGGCGAAGGCGGUUCUCUGGGACGGUACUGACGCUGAGACGCGAAAGCGUGGGGAGCGAACAGG
rnacentral:rRNA from 1 species